CCUCCUGCUACCAGGAUGUCCUCCUCACUACCAGUCCCCCCAGGACAGCGAUGCUCUCCUCAGUACAAGUGCCCUCCAGGACAGAGAUGCCCUCCCAGUGCUGAUUUGGACAUGGCCAGAGAACCCAAGCCAAGCCGGGCCAGACUGGGCCAGAAGAGGCAGCACAGCAGCGCCCUGUACCACAGUAACUGCGAUCUGGACUAUGAUCUCUACAGGGAUGACUUCCCAUACCGGGUAUAUGAGUACCAGAAGAUCCCACCCCUCAUUAACCGCAUCCCUGUCAAGGCCAGACGAACUCAUGUUGGGGCAGGAGGCAAAAGCAGUCUAAGCCCCCAGUCUGGGACGAGGAACAGCACCAGCUCCACGACAGGACGGACAAAGCUACGGGCCGAAGAGUUGCACUCAAUCAAAGGGGAGCUGAGUCAGAUCAAGGCACAGGUGGACAGUCUGCUGGAGAGCCUGGACCGCAUGGACCAGCGGAGAGACCGUCUCUCAGUCUCUGUCCCUGCAGGGUCCAAGGAAAGCGAGAAGAAAAGGGUCGAGGUUGGUGCAGAGUCGCCAUCCCCAGCAGGAGAGGGGCCACGGGAGCCCCAGGGGAAGGAGGGGUCAGGAGCUGAUGGGCACAGUGACCUGCGCAACAUCGACAGUGCAGAGGAGAGCACAGACACCGAGGAGACGAUGAAAAAUCACACAUCGGACCCCGAGGGGAGUCAGUAGAUGGACUGGGAUACCAUGGCCUUCCUGGUGGGCCAGCAGUUCCUGUCUUGUGUUCGUAUUUCUUUUGCGGCUUCCAGCUAGUGCCACAUGUGAUGCGAGGUACCCACUUUCAGCACUCAUGCCCAGCAUGGGCCCCCCCUGCCACUGUCGCCAGCAGCCCCAUGUCCCACCCCUGCGAGACUUCGGCCUGCUGUGGUGUGCAGCCAGCGACAGGAAUGUGGCAGCCUUGGAUGGACUGGCCUAGCUGUGCAACUGGUGCAAGAGUGUCUGAACACUGCACUUUGUGUGGCUUCCGCCAUCAGCUCUCCAGUCAAGCCCAGGCCUCCCACGGACCUGCGGGAAGGAGGCACUGACAGCAAGAAGAGCAGUGUGGCGGCCCUGCAGCUCAGCAGGAGCUCCUGUGGCUUCACAGUUUUAGAAGGAAGAGGAAUGAGGCACCCUCCUGGGCUACAAACAGUCUGAUUAAAAGUAGCUGCAAUAUUUAUCGUCCCCAGGACCAAGCAUGGUGUCAGGCUACCUUGGGCUGUGGCUGUCCCCUGUAAUCCCAGGCUGGUACCAGCCUGGUUUCUCUUGGGCUCUGUCUACAUGACUGUUAUCCAUCAACCUUCCCCUUAGACAGUACUCCUUAUUGCCAGGGCCCUUGGUGGAGCACGAGAGCAGCUUUUCUGUCAUGGAGGGACCAGGCACUGCCUAUUCAAGGAGAGGGACAGCGCUUGGGAGGGCUUCACCACCACCACCACAGAGAUCAGCACAGAGAGGACUGAGUUAAUGCUCUCUUGUGCUGGACACCUGCACCUUUCCCCUUUAGGGCAGGGAAACCCCAUCCCAAAUACAUCCACAGGCAGACGACGCAGGGUGAGGUUUGCUGCUGCCACUCCUAAUGCAAACUUGUACAUAACCAGGAGCCAACAGAGGAAUGGCUAAGUGUGCAUGGAGCCCCCUCCCUGUGAAAGGCUGAGCCUGCUGCCUGGCAGUUGGCUGGACAAGUAGCCAUGGGCUGGCAGUGCAGGGCACCAGGGCAAACGAACAUAACUGUCAACAGCUGACUGCUGCUAGCAGACCCAGGCAGGCAGAAGACUCACCAGAAAAGCCUGAUUUAUUGUAAAAACCAACCAACCACCCAAACCAAACCAUGUCUCUCCACCUCCCUGAAGCACUGUCCCGGCAAGUCACUGUGAAGUCCAAGCAACACACAGGCCGUACUGGUACACAGUUCCUGCCAGGGGCUGUUUGAGCCGUUUUGUGGAUGGUUGUGGUGGGGUGUUGGUGGUGGGCUGGCUGGACACAGCAGUCUCAUCCUCAGCACUGGGGCCACCUUCAGACUCUGGGCCUUGAUGAGCUUAGGGGCAGCCUGGUAGACUCCAGUAGGCCCCAGUGGUGUGAGUGGCCAACUGCGGGGCUCCAGCAGGUGGGGUGGGGGGUCUUGGGGGAAUCCAGUGGUUCAGGCAGCUGAUCUUGCUAGUGUAGGCAGUCCCUUGGGUGGCCCAGGUGGGCUCCAGCAGUGUAGAGGGUGGCACAGGCAGGUUCUGGCAGCUGAGGCAGGGUAGGGGCUGCUUUGGGGGGCUCAGGCUGUGUGGGGGCCACUGAAGAAAUGUAGGAGGCUCAGGUGGUAUGG